rnacentral:rRNA from 1 species
AUUGAACGCUGGCGGCAGGCCUAACACAUGCAAGUCGAGCGGAUGACGGGAGCUUGCUCCUUGAUUCAGCGGCGGACGGGUGAGUAAUGCCUAGGAAUCUGCCUGGUAGUGGGGGACAACGUUUCGAAAGGAACGCUAAUACCGCAUACGUCCUACGGGAGAAAGCAGGGGACCUUCGGGCCUUGCGCUAUCAGAUGAGCCUAGGUCGGAUUAGCUAGUAGGUGAGGUAAUGGCUCACCUAGGCGACGAUCCGUAACUGGUCUGAGAGGAUGAUCAGUCACACUGGAACUGAGACACGGUCCAGACUCCUACGGGAGGCAGCAGUGGGGAAUAUUGGACAAUGGGCGAAAGCCUAAUCCAGCCAUGCCGCGUGUGUGAAGAAGGUCUUCGGAUUGUAAAGCACUUUAAGUUGGGAGGAAGGGCAGUAAGCUAAUACCUUGCUGUUUUGACGUUACCGACAGAAUAAGCACCGGCUAACUCUGUGCCAGCAGCCGCCGUAAGAC